rnacentral:rRNA from 1 species
GUGUCAGCCGCCGCGGUAACACGUAGGGACCAAGCGUUGUCCGGAUUUAUUGGGCGUAAAGAGCUCGUAGGCGGUUCGGUAAGUCGGGUGUGAAAACUCUGGGCUCAACUCAGAGAGGCCACCCGAUACUGCCGUGACUUGAGUCCGGUAGGGGAGCACGGAAUUCCUGGUGUAGCGGUGAAAUGCGCAGAUAUCAGGAGGAACACCGGUGGCGAAGGCGGUGCUCUGGGCCGGUACUGACGCUGAGGAGCGAAAGCGUGGGUAGCAAACAGGAUUAGAUACCCCAGUAGUCC